rnacentral:rRNA from 1 species
AUUGAACGCUGGCGGCAUGCUUUACACAUGCAAGUCGAACGGCAGCGCGGGCUUCGGCCUGGCGGCGAGUGGCGAACGGGUGAGUAAUACAUCGGAACGUGCCCAGUAGUGGGGGAUAGCUCGGCGAAAGCCGGAUUAAUACCGCAUACGACCUGAGGGUGAAAGCGGGGGAUCUUCGGACCUCGUGCUAUUGGAGCGGCCGAUGGCAGAUUAGCUAGUUGGUGGGGUAAAGGCCUACCAAGGCGACGAUCUGUAGCUGGUCUGAGAGGACGACCAGCCACACUGGGACUGAGACACGGCCCAGACUCCUACGGGAGGCAGCAGUGGGGAAUUUUGGACAAUGGGCGAAAGCCUGAUCCAGCAAUGCCGCGUGUGUGAUGAAGGCCUUCGGGUUGUAAAGCACUUUUGGCGGGAACGAAAAGGACUGUGCCAAUACCACGGUUCGAUGACGGUACCCGCAGAAUAAGCACCGGCUAACUACGUG